rnacentral:rRNA from 1 species
GACGAACGCUGGCGGCGUGCCUAAUACAUGCAAGUCGCGCGAAGCGGCGGAUGGGUGAGUAACGCGUGGGUAACCUGCCCUUAAGUCUGGGAUACCAUUUGGAAACCGAUGCCAAUACCGGAUACUAACGUAUGGACCUGCGAUGCAUUAGCUAGUUGGUAAGGUAACGGCUUACCACGGCGAUGAUGCAUAGCCGGUGUGAGAGAGUGAUCGGCCAAAUUGGGACUGAGACACGGCCCAAACUCCUACGGGAGGCAGCAGUAGGGAAUCUUGCACAAUGGACGAAAGUCUGAUGGAGCAACGCCGCGUGAGUGAAGAAGGUUUUCGGAUCGUAAAGCGCUGUUGUUGGUGAAGCGGUAAUCAACCAGAAAGUCACGGCUAACUACGUGCCAGCAGCCGCGGUAAUAC